GGACCACGGCAGGUUCCGAUGUUUCAUCCACGCCUCGGGAUAGACACAGAACUUCUGCUUGUUGUUGAUCCAAACUUUGUUUCCAUGACGAUAGAGACGGUUCCUCACAGAAACCUCAUCACUCCGACGCCACAGGAGGAAACCGUGACGAUCGGUCAACGGACCAGAUUCCAUCUUUGCCUUUUUGUUUUUUCAUUCUUCAUCAUUUGUCUUGGUCCGGUUUCCAUUUGCGUCAUAAGAAAAUCCAGACAAAUAUAGGAAGUGAGUCAAAUUUCUUCUGAGAAUAUAUUAUUUUCUCCAUGAAAUCUUUAAAUUUUCCGUCUUCAGGUAAACUUACCUGAUGUAUUAAUUUAAUUUAAAGAAAACCACAAGAUGGAGAAGUCUAUAAUCACUUAUAGUGAAAGGAAUGUGAACAGUGGACACGUCAGUUCAUCACAGGAGACUUUAAAUAUCCAGUGUAAACAAAUUCUCUCUUUUUUUUAACCACUCAACCUUUCUCCUAUUAAAGCUGCAGUAUGUAACUUUUAUAAAAAUAUAUUUCUUACAUAUUUUUUUCACUUUGGGUUAUGAGACAUGUAAUCUGUAAAAAAUGACAACACAAAAUGACUGAGGUUUUCAGUGUGUCUGUGGUUUUCUGACGGGUCUCUUUUGCUGCUUUCGCUCAGUGCUAACUAGAAACAACCAGUCAUUGCCAGGAGGCGGGUCUUAGUGCUGUCAAUCACCCUCCUUGCUUUCUGAGUUGAGAACAAAACAUUUUAUUUUAAUAUUAACUCAUUUUAUUAUUUUGCCAGUAAAGGCCUCAGUACUUCCUGUCUUACACAACCAGCAACCUGCUAAGUCAGAUCUUAGCACGGUGUCAAGAAAACUGAGAUCCUCCUACUUCCCCAUGCUGAAGAUUUAAGUUCAACAAUAAAAAAUAAUUAAAGUUAUCUUUAAAAUUAAUCACACAAGUGACAUCUAGACCCAGCAGUAGACUUAAACUUCCAUAAAAUCAAUCUGGUUGUGUGUGUUGUUUAUGUCUCCUGCAAACUUUGCUUUAAUUAUUUGUUUUUUUUCUAUCCAAUUAUAAGAAAUCAUAGUCAGACAGAGCGAGUCAUAAAACAGGAAGAGCAGGUUUCCUGAAAAAAAAAGGAAGUAAGUUCCCAGCCUGCAGAUUUAUUAAAAUAGUUUAAACUGUUCCUUAUUUCAAAGCAUGAAAGGUAUAAAGAACAUUUUGACAUUUUGAGUAAUUGGAUAAGAUUCAAAGUAAAAUACUUAUAUUAAUAUUGGUUUAUUGUAAGAAUACUUGC